AGAGGAGUAGGGGAGAUAAGGUUACGCGCUGGGUAGCGCAGCGCAUCUGUGGGGCGGGCCGGCCAUAGGUUCGAAUCCUGUCACCUUUC
rnacentral:tRNA from 1 species